rfam:Gorilla gorilla gorilla genomic chromosome, chr10, whole genome shotgun sequence
GCUGGGAGCAGUGGCUCAUGCCUGUAAUCCCAGCACUUUGGGAGGCCAAGGCGGGUGGAUCACUUGAGGUUGGGAGUUCGAGACCAACCUGGCCAACAUGGUGAAACCCCGUCGCUACUAAAAAUACAAACAUUAGCCNNNNNNNNNNGGCUAAUGUUUGUAUUUUUAGUAGCGACGGGGUUUCACCAUGUUGGCCAGGUUGGUCUCGAACUCCCAACCUCAAGUGAUCCACCCGCCUU